rnacentral:rRNA from 1 species
AUUGAACGCUGGCGGCAUGCCUUACACAUGCAAGUCGAACGGUAACAGGCCGCAAGGUGCUGACGAGUGGCGAACGGGUGAGUAAUACAUCGGAACGUGCCCGAUCGUGGGGGAUAACGCAGCGAAAGCUGUGCUAAUACCGCAUACGAUCUACGGAUGAAAGCGGGGGAUCGCAAGACCUCGCGCGGACGGAGCGGCCGAUGGCAGAUUAGGUAGUUGGUGGGGUAAAGGCCUACCAAGCCGACGAUCUGUAGCUGGUCUGAGAGGACGACCAGCCACACUGGGACUGAGACACGGCCCAGACUCCUACGGGAGGCAGCAGUGGGGAAUUUUGGACAAUGGGCGCAAGCCUGAUCCAGCCAUGCCGCGUGCAGGAUGAAGGCCUUCGGGUUGUAAACUGCUUUUGUACGGAACGAAAAGGUUUCUUUUAAUACAGGGAACUGAUGACGGUACCGUAAGAAUAAGCACCGGCUAAUUACGUGCCAGCCGCCGCCGUAACAC